UCUCCCCCUCUCUCUAUCUCUCUCUCUCGCUAGUGCAGAAGUGAUUUUCUAUUGUAUGCAUCGAUCUGGGAUUGAUUUGGGUACUUGUGGAUGUACGCCCCUUCUAUCUCUCUCUCUGAUUUUUGUACGUGUGGAUGUGCAACACAAUAAUCUGAUUUCUUUGGUGUAGAAGCAAAGGGCAAGAGAAAGGGAUUGCACGAAAUUGUGACUUGUUCUUGGUGUAGAAGCAACAGACAAGAGAAAGGGAUUGGAAGAAAUUGCGACUAGUCCACAUAGCCCGUCUGUGACUGCCGCCGGCCGAGGCCGGUCUUUUCCGACCGCCGCCGCUGACGUAGGGCACGACGAGCCGGCGUCCGUAGGGUGGGAUCUGGGGCAGGCCUGGGGCCUGGCCGUGUUUUUUUUUAUUUUCUCCGAACUGCAUCAGUGGCGGGCGGUUGUGUGUGACCGACAGUGAUGUCUACGGCAUCAGUAACAAGCAUGUUGCCCGUCACUGAUGAUAGGUACAUCAGUAACGGUCGAGGCGACCGUUACCGUUACUGAUGAUACCCAUCAUCAGUAACACGAAGUUAGUAACGGCGGCCCCGACCGUUACUGAUGUUGUUUUUCGACCGUUACUGAUAAGCCUUUCUGUAGUAGUGGCGGACGCGUUCCGCCACGUCCGAUCUGCAAUGAACGGACAACCUUAUUCUUCGUUCCUUUUAUUCUUCUGAUGCAUACGAACGCUUCCUCUCCCCGGUCCCUACUGCCACCAUCCCUCAUGUCUG
rnacentral:lncRNA from 1 species